UAUGAGUGUGUGUAUAUAAUGCAGAGUGUGUGCAUUAUAUAUACACACACACACUGCAUUAUAUACAUACACUCAUA